CAUGUGUCUACCAUAUGGCACACGUAGAUUGGUGCCCCGGACACAUUAGCACACAACGUGUCCCAUUUUAUUCUAAAUUACAUAUAAGCCUUAAAUGCAAAAAUUCUAUUUAUUUAGGUCCCUGGCGAGUUUUUAAAUUUUAAAAAUAAUUCAAAAUGCCAUAUAGAGCACAGGGUGGAUAUAGAGCACGUAUUUUCACCCCAACAUCCCCUACUAAGG
rnacentral:lncRNA from 1 species